GACAGAGGGGGCGAGCGUUGUCCGGAGUCACUGGGCGUAAAGCGCGCGCAGGCGGUGACCUAAGUGUCGAGUGAAAGCCCCCGGCUCAACUGGGGGAGGCCAAGGCAGACUGGGUCGCUCGAGCUGCGGAGAGGCCCCUCGAAUUGCCGGUGUAGCGGUGAAAUGCGUAGAGAUCGGCAGGAAGACCAAGGGGGAAGCCAGGGGGCUGGGCGCAUGCUGACGCUGAGGCGCGACAGCGUGGGGAGCAAACCGG
rnacentral:rRNA from 1 species